UCCUCCCCGACAGUGGCUCAGGACAAUUGGAUGUGGGCACUUAGCCCACAGCAGGCUGAGAGCGCACAUGGAGAGUCCUGUCUCAUGCAUUGAGAUCUGAAGGCCCACUGCCGAUGAGCAAGGCAACAGUCCAUACACGCCCUGAGCCUCAGAAAGUCUGGCUCCCAAGAAUAAAACAAGAUGAAUUUUAACAGUUAAACACCAAGGAGGACAUGAAAGAGAAAGUAAAACAAAUCUGUAGGCACUGUCUUCACGGUCCUGGCAGCACAAGUGGACUAUUAGGUCUCGGCAGGUGAACCUGUAUUUUGUGGCCUGAUUUCUGUCGUUAGCCGGUCAAAGAAGCAUCAUUUCUUCCACAAACAAGCUUCUCACUCAGGUGGAGAGCAAAGACGUCAAACACGUCGUGCAGAACGAACAAGGGCAACUACCGUGAAGAUAAGGCAUUGGCCACAGCAGUAGGAAGAGGAGCCUCUCCGAGUUGAGAGCCACCCAGCACAGGAUCCUAUGAACAUGUAGCUCAGAGAAUCCCUUGGAGAGAAAAGUAAAGGCUGGACAAGAUUUGGA
rnacentral:lncRNA from 1 species